rnacentral:rRNA from 1 species
CCUACGGGUGGCUGCAGUGGGGAAUAUUGGACAAUGGGCGAAAGCCUGAUCCAGCCAUGCCGCGUGUGUGAAGAAGGCCUUCGGGUUGUAAAGCACUUUCAUUGGGGAAGAAAGCCUUGGGGCUAAUACCCUCGAGGAAGGACAUCACCCACAGAAGAAGCACCGGCUAACUCCGUGCCAGCAGCCGCGGUAAUACGGAGGGUGCGAGCGUUAAUCGGAAUUACUGGGCGUAAAGCGCGCGUAGGCGGUCUGAUAAGCCGGUUGUGAAAGCCCCGGGCUCAACCUGGGAACGGCAUCCGGAACUGUCAGGCUAGAGUGCAGGAGAGGAAGGUAGAAUUCCCGGUGUAGCGGUGAAAUGCGUAGAGAUCGGGAGGAAUACCAGUGGCGAAGGCGGCCUUCUGGACUGACACUGACGCUGAGGUGCGAAAGCGUGGGUAGCAAACAGGAUUAGAUACCCCUGUAGUC